CUCGAUUUCAUUAGAGUUAAUAAAAUAAAUUAAUUAUUGUAAUAUAAUUAUUAAUAAUAUUUUAUUAGAGGUGAAAUAUCAAUCGAUUUUGAAGAUAUCUAGUUUUUUGGGAAAUAAAUUUAAUUUACAUUUUAUUUUUAAAGAUUUAUUUUUUAAUUUAACUUAAAAUAAGAUUAAUAUUGUAGGGGAUAAGCUCUUCUUUAAAUUAUUAUAAGAUAUUUAAUUAUAAGAUUUUAUGGAUUUAGAAUUGAUUUUUAUUAGAAAUAUGUUAAAAUUUAAUUUUAAUUAAAAUUAAUUUAUUUUACUUUAAGUUUUUACUGAAACUUUUUAUUUAAUAAAAAUUUAAUAGGGAUUAUGAUUAAAUUAGUAUAAUUUAAUUUAAAUUAGGAUUUGAGGAAUUCGGCAAUAAUUUGUUCGCCUGUUUAACAAAAACAUCUCUUUUUGUUUAUAUAAAAAGUAUAACCUGCCCAAUGAAAAUUUUUUUUAAUGGCCGCGGUAUAUUGACCGUGCAAAGGUAGCAUAAUCAUUAGUCUUUUAAUUGGAGGCUGGAAUGAAUGGUUGGACGAAAUAAAUUCUUUCUUAAAUUUAUUUAUUAAAAAUUAAUCUUUAAGUUAAAAAGCUUAAAUAAUUUUUUGGGACGAGAAGACCCUAUAGAGUUUAAUAUUUUUUGUUAUUAAUUUUGUUAGAUUAAUUUUCAAUAAUAAUUUAUAUUUUGUUGGGGUGAUAAUAAAUUAAAAAUAACUUUUUUUUUAUUAAUUACAUUAAUUUAUGAUUCUUUGAUCCAUUUUAAUGAUUAUAAGACUAAAUUACCUUAGGGAUAACAGCGUUAUAUUUUUUGAGAGCUCAUAUUGACAAAAAAGAUUGCGACCUCGAUGUUGGAUUAAGAUAAUUACUGGGUGUAGAAGUUCAGUUUAAUAGGUCUGUUCGACCUUUAAAUUCUUACAUGAUCUGAGUUCAAACCGGCGUGAGCCAGGUUGGUUUCUAUCUAUUAAUAAAAUAUACACCUUAGUACGAAAGGACCAGGU
rnacentral:rRNA from 1 species